rnacentral:rRNA from 1 species
GAUGAACGCUGGCGGCGUGCCUAAUACAUGCAAGUCGAGCGAACAGACGAGGAGCUUUUUCCUCUACCGUUAGCGGCGGACGGGCGAGUAACACGUGCAUCACCUUCUUCUAUUACUGGGAUAACUACGUGAAGCCGGUGCCACUACUACCUCAUAUGUUCUACGGCUUGAAUCAGUAGUUCAACACGCCUUUGCUGUCACUUUUAGCUGGAGCCGCGUCGGAUUAGCUAGUUGGUAAGGUAACGGCGUACCAAGGCAACGAUGCGUAGCCGACCUGAGAGGGUGAUCGGCCACACUGGAACUGAGACACGGUCCAGACUCCUACGGGAGGCAGCAGUGGGGAAUAUUGGGCAAUGGGCGAAAGCCUGACGCAGCCAUGCCGCGUGAGUGAAGAAGGCCUUCGGGUCGUAAAGCUCUUUUAUUGGGGAAGAAAAAAAGUGGAAGAAACCACGGCCGUUUUGACGGUACCUAAUGAGUAAGCAACGGCUAACUUCGUG